UUUCUAUAGUGUAAAUUAACAUAUUACAUUUUCAUUGUAAAGCUGAAAACUAAUUUUCUAGAAAC
rnacentral:tRNA from 1 species